UGCUGCCCGCUGCCCGGGCUGCUGCUCGGCUGCUGGGCGCGGGAUGACGCCACCUCUCGCUCCGCCACCUCUCGCUCCGCCCCGCCAGCGAGAACUCGCUCUUUGCGUUCAUUUCAUUCCUCUUCUCAUUCCGAGCAUUCUUCGCAUCUCUGUCAGUGCGCGAUUCACCUACACCUUCCUGGCUGGCCCAGAAACACUAGAAUAACUUGACAUAGUAUUAAAAAAAUACCCCGUAACAUCCCAUUUAAUCAAAAAGAAGGGACAAUUAUAUGAGAUAUCAAUAACGAGUUACUUGGAGAUUUCACCGGAGGAUUUUCGGACCACCUCGAAGAGGAAAACCACGGCGGAGAGAGACUUGUUGCUUCAACCCGUUUUGACGGUGGUUAUUAAAACCGUCAUCGAAGUUUUGUGUCUCUCCCUAGUUUGCUCCAGGCUUUAGCUUGGAGAGCCCAACCGCCACCAUUGAUCCCAGCAGCUGGAGCGGCAGCGAGAGCCCUGCCGAGGACAUGGAGAGGAUGAGCGACUCUGCAGACAAGCCCAUGGACAAUGAGGCCGAGGGGGUGUGGAGCCCCGAUAUCGAACAGAGCUUCCAUGAGGCCCUGGCUAUCUAUCCUCCUUGUGGACGAAGGAAGAUCAUCCUGUCUGAUGAGGGAAAGAUG